rnacentral:rRNA from 1 species
AUACCCAUAUCUACUCAAGUCAUCAGUGAGGGUGAGAACAUAACGAUAGCCACCGCGAGCCUCAACACUCAUUGGACCGCACACAUCAGUAUGUAUGAUUUCCAAUAAGUUGGUUGCUCGCUCCAUUGUUCCGGAGAACAGAGUCUUGGUCAUUUUGCCCAUGAGGCAUGGUUCGCACGUGUCAAAUGAUUCAUAAUCAAGAGACUCCAAA